AGACCAGAAAGCUGCAUUUUUACAGAAUGAGCAUUAAAGACAGCUUAAUACAAGUGACAACAGAAAACAGUAACUUUCAUCAAAUUGCUUUUGCAUCUGGCGCCUGUCUUCUACGUUGCCAAAUAUAUGCACUCCUGCAUGAUGGGUGAGUCUUGCCAAAUCCUUCUGAACUUGUUUUACUUAAUUUUUUUUCCUCUGACAUUUGAAAAAUUUCCAAUUUGCUUUCCUAUUGGCUACAUCCUGCAUCAUAAUUUUUGUGGACUGUUCCCUUGCCCCGCACAUCCCCUAAAUCAUGAAUUAUUCAACCACUCUACUUAAAAAACAUUAUCUGUAUUUUUAGUCCAGAGAACAUUAAAUGCUGCUAUGACAUCAGUCAGUUAACUUUAUUGUGCUGUCCUCAGAACCAUAAACGAACUGGAUUUCAGAUGCAGACAGACCUGC
rnacentral:lncRNA from 1 species